rnacentral:rRNA from 1 species
AUACGUAGGGGGCGAGCGUUGUCCGGAAUGAUUGGGCGUAAAGGGCGCGUAGGCGGCCCGGUAAGUCUGGAGUGAAAGUCCUGUUUUUAAGAUGGGAAUUGCUUUGGAUACUGUCGGGCUUGAGUGCCGGAGAGGUAAGUGGAAUUCGCAGUGGAGCGGUGAAAUGCGUAGAGAUUGGGAGGAACACCAGUGGCGAAGGCGACUUACUGGACUGUAACUGACGCUGAGGCGCGAAAGUGUGGGGGGCAAACAGGAUUAGAUACCCUGGUAGUCCACACUGUAAACGAUGAAUGCUAGGUGUAGGGGGUAUCGACCCCUUCUGUGCCGCAGUCAACACAAUAAGCAUUCCGCCUGGGGAGUACGGCCGCAAGGUUGAGACUCAAAGGAAUUGACGGGG